GGGUAAGGAGUCUUGGGGAGGAGAGUGUUGACAUGUUGUAAAGUUAGAUUACGGUGAUCAAUUCGAGUGAAAUCGAGGUCAUGCAGAAAAUAGCUGCACCUUCCUUGCCUUCCAACAGGCCGAAGCACCCAGGGCUCGUUACCGGCCUCGGGACUGGGCCUCGCUCUGCCCAGACGUUUGCUUUGGGAGGUGAGACCCACUGGCAGAAAUUGCAAAGGAGGUGAGGUCUGAGAAAGGACCCCUGGAUUCCCUCUCAAUUCUGCUUCCAUCUGGAGGUACCCUGUCUCCCUCAUGGGAGCAGAGCUUGAGCUCAGGAUCUUUCUAAAGAUCGGGAGGCCUGAGGGAAGGGGCAUGCCUCUUGGGUCAGAUUGGGACCUUCUUCGGGCCAAGAAACCAUGUCUCUGCAUCAUGCUGGGAGUAUGCUGCGGGCACAAGGAGAAACUUUCUUUCCCGGUAUCCCCCCCUCGCCCUCGCCCUAAUGGUCCCCUCCCCAGGGCCAGCAGCACCGCCAGCCCUUCCAGGAGCUACGGACAGACAGACAGCUGCUGGCCACAAGAAGAUGCCGCCAGUGGAGUCUUGUGCCGAUCCAGGUGGACUCGUGUGUCCUGGCCUCUGGAGAAGACAGUGAGGGUGGACGGCCAUCUGGGGCCCGGAUCCUAGGAGCACCCCCAUGUCUGCUGCUGGGCAAGUGGGCCGAUCUCUGCUGGCGGCUCACUCAGCCCCCAACAGCUCAGCUCCCUCCGCAGGGGGAAAGCAGCCAAGGCCACAGGCCUGCAUCUGGCUGGAGAACACUCAGGGCUGGCAGCACGCUUGCUAAGCCCUGGCUCUUCCCCUCACUUCCCUCUUGCGAAGUUUCCAGGGGAAACUAUCUAGGGGACAGACUUCCCAGACUGUGUAGACGUCACACAAGACGUCUUCUCUUCUCAGACAUUUUAGAGUUCAUGUUUCAGCUCUGUCACUUCCUGUGUGUGACCUUGGCUUUGCCAGGUCUCAGCUGUCAUCUGUGAAUUGAGGAUAAAUAUCUACCUGCAAGGAUUAACUAAGAUGAUGCCUACAAGCCAGCUCUUAGCAGUGCCUGGUAUACGGGAGGCACUCCCUAAAAUGUUUUUAUUAUUAUUGUUGUUGUUGUUGUUGUUGGUGGUGGUGGUGGUGGUGGUGGUGGUGGUAUUCCUUUAUGCUGUGCUUCUGGAAGCUUCUAGUAGGCUGGCUACAACACAAGGAUAUGGGAUCUGUGCAGACACAGGGUAUGUUUGAGGCCUGCUUUAUCAGAGGAGAGAAGAAUGAGGCCCAGGGCCACCCUCGCAGGGCCUCUAAAGGACAGAGCUGUCAGCUGGAAGAGGCCUCGCUGUAAUCCAGCCACACAACCCUCCCCGUGGGCGUCGCCGUGUUUAUCAGAUCUAUUCAGGAGCUGGUCUGAGCGGGUUCCUGCUUCUUAUGUAAGACACUAACAAUAUCACCAGGUGGUUUUGAGGAUUUGGUGAAGCCUCAGUGAGGAAACGCAUGUGAAAGAGGUUUCCCAGAUGAGGACAGCAUCCCCCGGGAUAGUUGCAGAUGCUCCGACUGGACCACGUAGUCUUUCCAUCACUCGUAGCCUUGGUGACUCACACGCACCAGGAGAGAAGUAGCGAGCAUAGAUUGAGUUACAAAAUCAUCUUCAAAACGUGCUUUAAAACUUUUCCCCGGCAUUUGUGUCAGCAAAAUAUUUCCCACUUUUCUGUGGUUCUGCUCCUUCUUGUUUUCCUCUGCAGUUAUGAAACCAGACAGCUUCUUGGGAGAUGCAUCACUGAGGUGACUUAUGGCCAUAAGAAACCCCAAAUUCACUUCAACGAUGACAAAAUCCAUCAUUUCCCAGAUCUGCUGAUCCAGAUGUCGUAGGCAAGCUUCAGGAUCAGCUGGAUCCAGUCUCUCCACUCCAUUUCACCAAAUCCCUUUCACUGGGUUUUCCCCCACGCCUGGGCUUCAGGGUCGAGCUGGUUCGUCUUGGAGUAAAACGGCUGCAGUGAGUAAGUGGCCAGCAGCUGGAAGCAGCCCAGGUCCAUCAAGAGAUAAAUGGAUAAACAACAUGGUGAACGUACAGAACAGUGGAAUGUUAUUCAGCCACAUAAAAGAAGGAAAUCUGAACACAUGCUACAGCAGGGAUGAAGCCUGGAGACACCGUAAAUGAAAUAAGCCAGUCACUGAAUGACAAAUACUGCGUGAUUCCACUUACCUGAGGAAACUGGACUAGGGAAAUUCAGAGACAAAAAAAUAGAGCGGCGGUUGCCAAGGGCUGGGCUGGGGCGGUGAGGUGGGGGCAGCAAUUAUUUAAUGGGGGUCAGAGUUUCAGUCCGAGAAGAUGAAAAAAAGCUCUGGAGAUGAAGGGUGGUGAUGGUUGCAUAACAAUGUGAAUGUACUUAAGGUCACUGACCUGU